rnacentral:rRNA from 1 species
ACUGAACGCUGGCGGCAGGCCUAACACAUGCAAGUCGAACGGUAACAGGAAGAAGCUUGCUUCUUUGCUGACGAGUGGCGGACGGGUGAGUAAUGUCUGGGAAACUGCCUGAUGGAGGGGGAUAACUACUGGAAACGGUAGCUAAUACCGCAUAAUGUCGCAAGACCAAAGAGGGGGACCUUCGGGCCUCUUGCCAUCAGAUGUGCCCAGAUGGGAUUAGCUAGUAGGUGGGGUAACGGCUCACCUAGGCGACGAUCCCUAGCUGGUCUGAGAGGAUGACCAGCCACACUGGAACUGAGACACGGUCCAGACUCCUACGGGAGGCAGCAGUGGGGAAUAUUGCACAAUGGGCGCAAGCCUGAUGCAGCUAUGCCGCGUGUAUGAAGAAGGCCUUCGGGUUGUAAAGUACUUUCAGCGGGGAGGAAGGGAGUAAAGUUAAUACCUUUGCUCAUUGACGUUACCCGCAGAAGAAGCACCGGCUAACUCCGUG